rnacentral:misc_RNA from 1 species
AAAUCAUAUCAAGCAAUUUUGCAUGGUCAUGGAGGAAGAGUCCACCCGGUGUGGUCUCCCCGCCGAAAUGCAACGGCGGAAAGUCUCUGAUACUAGGCGUAGUAGUAACGUUCGCUUUGUAUCCGCAGUCAUUCCUGCCAGCGAAACCCCCACAAUUCUCUU